rnacentral:rRNA from 1 species
UACGGAGGGUGCAAGCGUUGUCCGGAUUUAUUGGGCGUAAAGAGCUCGUAGGCGGUUUGUCGCGUCUGCUGUGAAAACCUAAGGCUCAACCUUGGGCUUGCAGUGGGUACGGGCAGACUAGAGUGCGGUAGGGGUGACUGGAAUUCCUGGUGUAGCGGUGGAAUGCGCAGAUAUCAGGAGGAACACCGAUGGCGAAGGCAGGUCACUGGGCCGCAACUGACGCUGAGGAGCGAAAGCAUGGGGAGCGAACAGG